rnacentral:rRNA from 1 species
GACGAACGCUGGCGGCGGGCCUAAUACAUGCAAGUCGAGCGAAGCGGCGGAUGGGGGAGUAACGCGUGGGUAACCUGCACUUAAGACUGGGAUACCAUUUGGAAACAGACGCUAAGACCGGAUACUAAAGGAUGGACCUGGGAUGCAUUAGCUAGUGGGUAAGGUAACGGCUUACCAAGGCGAUGAUGCAUAGCCGGGUUGAGAGGAUGAUCGGUCACAGUGGGACUGAGACACGGCCCAAACUCCUACGGGAGGCAGCAGUAGGGAAUCUUCCACAAUGGACGAAAGUCUGAUGGAGCAACGCCGCGUGAGUGAAGAAGGUUUUCGGAUCGUAAAGCUCUGUUGUUGGUGAAGCGGUAAUCAACCAGAAAGUCACGGCUAACUACGUGCCAGCCGCCGCGGUAAUUC